GACGAACGCUGGCGGCGUGCCUAAUACAUGCAAGUAGAACGCACAGUUUAUACCGUAGCUUGCUACACCAUAGACUGUGAGUUGCGAACGGGUGAGUAACGCGUAGGUAAUCUGCCUGGUAGCGGGGGAUAACUAUUGGAAACGAUAGCUAAUACCGCAUAAUAUUGAUUAUUGCAUGAUAAUUGAUUGAAAGAUGCUAUUGCAUCACUACCAGAUGGACCUGCGUUGUAUUAGCUAGUAGGUGAGGUAACGGCUCACCUAGGCGACGAUACAUAGCCGACCUGAGAGGGUGAUCGGCCACACUGGGGCUGAGACACGGCCCAGACUCCUACGGGAGGCAGCAGUAGGGAAUCUUCGGCAAUGGACGAAAGUCUGACCGAGCAACGCCGCGUGAGUGAAGAAGGUUUUCGGAUCGUAAAGCUCUGUUGUAAGAGAAGAACGGGUGUGAGAGUGGAAAGUUCACACUGUGACGGUAUCUUACCAGAAAGGGACGGCUAACUACGUG
rnacentral:rRNA from 1 species